rnacentral:rRNA from 1 species
GACGAACGCUGGCGGCGUGCUUAACACAUGCAAGUCGAACGGAAAGGCCCUGCUUUUGUGGGGCGCUCGAGUGGCGAACGGGUGAGUAACACGUGAGUAACCUGCCCUUGACUUUGGGAUAACUUCAGGAAACUGGGGCUAAUACCGGAUAGGAGCUCCUGCUGCAUGGUGGGGGUUGGAAAGUUUCGGCGGUUGGGGAUGGACUCGCGGCUUAUCAGCUUGUUGGUGGGGUAGUGGCUUACCAAGGCUUUGACGGGUAGCCGGCCUGAGAGGGUGACCGGCCACAUUGGGACUGAGAUACGGCCCAGACUCCUACGGGAGGCAGCAGUGGGGAAUAUUGCACAAUGGGCGGAAGCCUGAUGCAGCAACGCCGCGUGCGGGAUGACGGCCUUCGGGUUGUAAACCGCUUUCGCCUGUGACGAAGCGUGAGUGACAGUAAUGGGUAAAGAAGCACCGGCUAACUACGUG